GACGAACGCUGGCGGCGUGCUGAACACAUGCAAGUCGAACGAAGUGGCGAACGGGUGAGUAACGCGUAAUCAACCUGCCCUUAAGAGGGGGACAACAGUUGUAAACGAAUGCUAAUACCGCAUACUGUAGGAGGAGAUUGCGUCGGCUUGGCUAGUUGGAGGGGUAACGGCCCCGCAAGGCGAUGAUCAGUAGCCGGUCUGAGAGGAUGAACGGACACAUUGGGACUGAGACAAGGCCCAUACUCCUAAGGGAGGAAGCAGUGGGGAAUCGUCCGCAAUUGACGAAAGUCUGACGGAGCAACGCGGCUUGAGUGAUGACGACCUGCGGGUUGUAAAGCUCUGUUAAUCGGGACGCGGUACCGGAAUAGAAAGCCACGGCUAACUACGUGCCAGCAGCCGCGGUAAUAC
rnacentral:rRNA from 1 species